rnacentral:rRNA from 2 species
AGACCGAUAGCGAACAAGUAGAGUGAUCGAAAGAUGAAAAGCACUUUGAAAAGAGAGUUAAACAGCACGUGAAAUUGUUGAAAGGGAAGCGCUUGCGACCAGACUCGCCCGCGGGGGUUCAGCCGGUACUCGUACCGGUGUAUUCCCCCGUGGGCGGGCCAGCGUCGGUUUGGGCGGCCGGUCAAAGGCCCCCGGAAUGUGUCGCCUCUCGGGGCGUCUUAUAGCCGGGGGUGCAAUGCGGCCAGCCUGGACCGAGGAACGCGCUUCGGCACGGACGCUGGCGUAAUGGUCGUAAGCGGCCCGUCUUGAAACACGGACCAAG